CGAUCGCCGGCGUGGAAGAGCAAUUAGGGCUUCAAAGGAGGCGAGGUCCUGUUCUGUGAAGGCGAUCUUGGAUUCCCUCUGUGUCGCUGCUGAUUGAGGUCUCGGGUGAAUUGGGAAAGAACUCCAGCAGAGGUUGCUGUGAGUUUUCUGAUCCAGCAAGGUGAAGAUCUGUUUUGGUUCUUGCUGUGGUGUUUUUGGCUUCGGCAGACACCUCAUCCAGCCAGCUCAGUUUGGAUCGGCAGUCAUCCAUACCUCAGUGUACUUGAUACAGCACCUAGUUCAGCUGGGAAUUGAGGACUCUGAUUCGAGACGAGCAUCUCGAUAUU